AGUGGGAUAGCUGGGUCAAAUGUUGGUUCCAUUCCUAGUUUGUUGAGGAAUCUCCAUACUGCUUUCCAGAAUGGUUGCACCAAUUUGCAAUCCCACCAGCAAU
rnacentral:pre_miRNA from 1 species